rnacentral:lncRNA from 1 species
AAUUUUCAAGUUUUCAUAGAUAUUUCGAUCUACACUAUUUUUUAAGCUUUAACAUUUAUAAAUAAAGAUAGAAAAUAUAUUUAAAAACCAUCACAAAAAUUUCCGGUAUUGAAACUAGACACUAUUUGAAGGUAGGAGGCUCAAAUUUGAUUAUUUAGAGCCUAGGCUCAAUAAAAACUGCACCCUUUUCUAAAUAAGGUUACGAGGUGAGACUUUCGCUUCUUCUGUUUUUUUUCCAUAAGUCGUAGGUCUAAUAGAAACCUCAGCCGAAAUAGAAAUUGCCAAAACAAGGUUACCAAGGAGAAACUUACGUCUUUAGGUGUUAAGAGGGUUAAGCUUCUGACUCCUUGUUAUAAUCUCGAAAGCGAUAAAGAAUCUCAGGUGUCCAAAAAAAAACCCCUAAACGACGCCCCACCAAAUCAAAACCGCUCGAUCUCUCCCCCUUCAAAACCACCAAUUUCCCCUGCUGCCCAAAACCGCUUAUCUACUUCACACCCCUUCCCCUGGGAAGCCAAAGACAAAAACUAAUUGGGCACGGCACCAAUCCCUUCUCCUUGAAAUCGCCCCAAACCGCAUCAAAUACUCUCAUUUUGGGGCUCUCCUAACGCCACAAAACCACCUUUUGACUCUCCCAAAAUCCCUCGACUCGCACCCAAAUACCACCAGCAAUUCCUGAAUUGUCAAGUUUUUUAUACCACAACAGGAGACUGAACUCACAAUAGGAGAUUGGCCUCCAUUUCAAGAUUCAUUUCAGACCUCUCUCGCUUUCUCUCUCUAAGAUUCCUUAACUGACCUCCCUCUCUCUCUCUCUCUCAGAAUAAUCCCAUAAAUCACCUUCUCUCUCUCUCUCUCUAAUUUCAGACCUCGCGUCUUCUCUCUCUCUCUCUAAUUUCAGACCUCGCGUCUUCUCUCUCUCUACCCGAACAAUCCAUCCCUCUAGACUCUAGCACAACUCCCUUUUCUCUCUCCUCUCUCAUGGGUGCAGUGAAAACCCU